rnacentral:rRNA from 1 species
AUGUUAUCACGGGAGACACACGGCGGGUGCUAACGUCCGUCGUGAAGAGGGAAACAACCCAGACCGCCAGCUAAGGUCCCAAAGUCAUGGUUAAGUGGGAAACGAUGUGGGAAGGCACAGACAGCCAGGAUGUUGGCUUAGAAGCAGCCAUCAUUUAAAGAAAGCGUAAUAGCUCACUGGUCGAGUCGGCCUGCGCGGAAGAUGUAACGGGGCUAAACCAUGCACCGAAGCUGCGGCAGCGACACUAUGUGUUGUUGGGUAGGGGAGCGUUCUGUAAGCCUGCGAAGGUGUGCUGUGAGGCAUGCUGGAGGUAUCAGAAGUGCGAAUGCUGACAUAAGUAACGAUAAAGCGGGUGAAAAGCCCGCUCGCCGGAAGACCAAGGGUUCCUGUCCAACGUUAAUCGGGGCAGGGUGAGUCGACCCCUAAGGCGAGGCCGAAAGGCGUAGUCGAUGGGAAACAGGUUAAUAUUCCUGUACUUGGUGUUACUGCGAAGGGGGGACGGAGAAGGCUAUGUUAGCCGGGCGACGGUUGUCCCGGUUUAAGCAUGUAGGCUGAUUGUCCAGGCAAAUCCGGAUAAUCAAGGCUGAGGUGUGAUGACGAGGCACUACGGUGCUGAAGUAACAAAUGCCCUGCUUCCAGGAAAAGCCUCUAAGCAUCAGGUAACAUCAAAUCGUACCCCAAACCGACACAGGUGGUCAGGUAGAGAAUACCAAGGCGCUUGAGAGAACUCGGGUGAAGGAACUAGGCAAAAUGGUGCCGUAACUUCGGGAGAAGGCACGCUGGUGUGUAGGUGAAGUCCCUGCGGAUGGAGCUGAGACCAGUCGAAGAUACCAGCUGGCUGCAACUGUUUAUUAAAAACACAGCACUGUGCAAACACGAAAGUGGACGUAUACGGUGUGACGCCUGCCCGGUGCCGGAAGGUUAAUUGAUGGGGUUAUCCGUAAGGAGAAGCUCUUGAUCGAAGCCCCGGUAAACGGCGGCCGUAACUAUAACGGUCCUAAGGUAGCGAAAUUCCUUGUCGGGUAAGUUCCGACCUGCACGAAUGGCGUAAUGAUGGCCAGGCUGUCUCCACCCGAGACUCAGUGAAAUUGAACUCGCUGUGAAGAUGCAGUGUACCCGCGGCAAGACGGAAAGACCCCGUGAACCUUUACUAUAGCUUGACACUGAACAUUGAGCCUUGAUGUGUAGGAUAGGUGGGAGGCUUUGAAGCGUGGACGCCAGUCUGCGUGGAGCCAACCUUGAAAUACCACCCUUUAAUGUUUGAUGUUCUAACGUUGGCCCCUGACCGGGGUUGCGGACAGUGUCUGGUGGGUAGUUUGACUGGGGCGGUCUCCUCCCAAAGCGUAACGGAGGAGCACGAAGGUUAGCUAAUCCUGGUCGGACAUCAGGAGGUUAGUGCAAUGGCAUAAGCUAGCUUGACUGCGAGCGUGACGGCGCGAGCAGGUGCGAAAGCAGGUCAUAGUGAUCCGGUGGUUCUGAAUGGAAGGGCCAUCGCUCAACGGAUAAAAGGUACUCCGGGGAUAACAGGCUGAUACCGCCCAAGAGUUCAUAUCGACGGCGGUGUUUGGCACCUCGAUGUCGGCUCAUCACAUCCUGGGGCUGAAGUAGGUCCCAAGGGUAUGGCUGUUCGCCAUUUAAAGUGGUACGCGAGCUGGGUUUAGAACGUCGUGAGACAGUUCGGUCCCUAUCUGCCGUGGGCGCUGGAGAAUUGAGGGGGGCUGCUCCUAGUACGAGAGGACCGGAGUGGACGCAUCACUGGUGUUCGGGUUGUCAUGCCAAUGGCACUGCCCGGUAGCUAAAUGCGGAAGAGAUAAGUGCUGAAAGCAUCUAAGCACGAAACUUGCCCCGAGAUGAGUUCUCCCUGAGACUUUAAGUCUCCUGAAGGAACGUUAAAGACGAUGACGUUGAUAGGCCGGGUGUGUAAGCGCAGCGAUGCGUUGAGCUAACCGGUACUAAUGAACCGUGAGGCUUAACCUU